rnacentral:tRNA from 1 species
AUUCGAAUAGCUUAUAGAUUAGAGCAUGACAUUGAAAGUGUUAGAGAGGUUUUAGGACCUUUGAAUA